rnacentral:lncRNA from 1 species
GAAAAAGUUGCUACAUGUAAAGUUGAUGUCUAUUUAAGACAGAAUACAUACCAGUUUCUAUAGUUUCCACAGGAAACAGAUUGAAUUUUGUGUCUCAAAUCUCAAUAACCAAAUGUGCCUUCUUACAGAUUUUCUCCAAAUCCAGUCUCUUUCUCAAAGUAACUUCUUUCGUUUUUGUUUAUUCCAGUUCCUACAGCCUUGGUAGCUUUGUCUCUUGCAAGAAAAAGUAUACAAUAAUUUCACUUUUGCUAUAGUUAUCAUGCAUUCAACCAACUGUACUCACCAAAUUUGGUGGUAGUCCUAGUGAACAAUCGUGGCAACACUAAUUUCUUUAAGAAAAAAAAGGAGUGAUUGUGGAUAUUUGAGUCUAAAAGAAUCUUUAGAACUGAUCGGUAAUAUUAUUGGCGUAUUUAAAAAAUGCAUGCAUUAAGUGAGUGUAGAGAAAUAUAAAAGUUCUAAAUGGACGAACAAUAAUAAAGGGAUCAAGUUGUUCAAUCUUACUCUAUUUGGCCUUAGAAUGAAGUAAAUGGACCAUAAUAGUUCGUUACUUCCCAGAAUGAUAAGCAAACUAAAUUUACAAAAAAUUUAAAGUAGAAGAAUGGCACUGUUUGAGCUUUACCUGCUGUAAUGUUGACUGCGGAAUAGGUUAUGCAGUGUUCUAGGUACCGGAAAGUAAACGCUGAGAUACCUCUUGAUUUGCAUUCAGCCAUUUUCCUAUUUUAGACUCUAUUUAUGAUGCUUAUUGUAGGGGAGAUAUAGUUUUAAAUGAUAAAGGUGAGAUGAUAGAUGCAAAGAAAAAACAUAUAUUUGUUGAUGAUCCAAAAUUAUACCGGGUAAUUGAUGAACCAUAUUGGGGACCUGAAAAGUUUCUGCAUUAUAUUUUUUUACGAGGGAGCUGGCGGUAUAUAUUAUGUACUAGUAGGUAAAUAAGACAUAUCUUUUUCCUUAGUUCUUUCUAUCAUUUUCAAUUAUAUUGCAAUUGAAAAAAUCACCUUCUUCCAACCUCUUAAUGAAGUAUUUGGAAAGCAACGCAAAGUAAUGGAGUAUAAAAAGAAGAAAGACAAAUAAAUGACAAAAGAAUCCCAGAAGUACUAACCUAUGUUUCUUGGCAAGCAUCAUAACUAGAGUCUGUUGCUAUCCAGCUUACGCGUAGCUUUUGGAUUUUCAGAGUGAACAUUCCUCAAACACUUGGUAAGCAUCUAUAAUGUUCUUGUUAUCCAGUAGAACUUUAACUUCUUUUGAUCAAAUAGUGAAAGAUCGAGGCUGUUGAGCUCAAAAAAAUUACUCUUUGAGGAACCAUAAAUGAAGGUUGUCUAUAUGUAAACAGUGAUUCAGUCCCUCCACAAUUAAAAACCACCAUUGUGAGUUUGUGACCACUUUCCUAUUUUCCAACAAGAAAUGUGCAAAAUAGAGCAUAUAUAAUUAUGGAGUAGGUCUCCAGAUUCGUCGAGGGUGAG